UACGGGGGGGGCAAGCGUUGUUCGGAAUUACUGGGCGUAAAGGGCUCGUAGGCGGCCAACUAAGUCGGAUGUGAAAUCCCCAGGCUCAACCUGGGAACUGCAUCCGAUACUGGAUGGCUUGAAUUCGGGAGAGGGAGGCAGAAUUCCAGGUGUAGCGGUGAAAUGCGUAGAUAUCUGGAGGAAUACCGGUGGCGAAGGCGGCAUCCUGGACCGACAUUGACGCUGAGGAGCGAAAGCUAGGGGAGCAAACGGG
rnacentral:rRNA from 1 species